AUUGAACGCUGGCGGCAGGCCUAACACAUGCAAGUCGAGCGGAUGAGUGGAGCUUGCUCCAUGAUUCAGAGGCGAACGGGUGAGUAAUGCCUAGGAAUCCGCCUGGUAGUGGGGGACAACGUUUCGAAAGGAACGCUAAUACCGCAUACGUCCUACGGGAGAAAGUGGGGGAUCUUCGGACCUCACGCUAUCAGAUGAGCCGAGGUCGGAUUAGCUAGUUGGUGAGGUAAAGGCUCACCAAGGCGACGAUCCGUAACUGGUCUGAGAGGAUGAUCAGUCACACUGGAACUGAGACACGGUCCAGACUCCUACGGGAGGCAGCAGUGGGGAAUAUUGGACAAUGGGCGAAAGCCUGAUCCCGCCAUGCCGAGUGUGUGAAGAAGGUCUUCGGAUUGUAAAGCACUUUAAGUUGGGAGGAAGGGCAGUAAGUUAAUACCUUGCUGUUUUGACGUUACCAACAGAAUAAGCACCGGCUAACUUCGUGCCAGCCGCCGCCGUAAUAC
rnacentral:rRNA from 1 species